rnacentral:lncRNA from 1 species
AGGCACAUUAUCAACAACAACAACCUUAUCAUAUAUUUUCCUGAGUUUCUCACGGACUUUCGAAGGUUCAGUGCUUUUCUCCACUUUGGAAACCGUAACUGGUUUCUCCUUGCUUACGUUAUCAGAAGGCUUUCCGUUUAUAAGAGGUUUCUGUUUUCUAACACCUUUAAGUUUCACAUCCACGUUUGUCCCAACCUCCACUUUGGAAAUCGGAACUGGAUUCUCAUUGCUUACGUUAUCAGAAGACUUUCCGUUUAUAAGAGGUUUCUGUUUUCCAUCUUCUUUAAGUUUCACAUCCACGUUUGUCCCAACCUCCAGAUUCUUGGUUAAAGUCAUAACAGGUACAGAUUGCAAAAGGCCAACCGAUUCUUUAUGGAGUGUAGCAGUACUGUUAACUCUGGG